CACAAGCGGAGGAACAUGUGGUUUAAUUCGAUGAUACGCGAGGACCUUACCUGGGCUUAAAUGUAGAGUGCAUUUUUAGAGAUAGAAAUUCCCUUCGGGGCUUUCUGCAAGGUGCUGCAUGGUUGUCGUCAGCUCGUGCCGUGAGGUGUCGGGUUAAGUCCCAUAACGAGCGCAACCCUUAUCGUUAGUUGCCAUCUGGUAAUGCAGGGGACUCUAGCGAAACUGCCACCGUAAGGUGAGAGGAAGUGGGAUGACGUCAAAUCAGCACGGCCCUUAUGUCCAGGGCUACACACGUGUUACAAUGGUCGGUACAGAGGGCAGCUACCUGGUGACAGGAUGCUAAUCUCGAAAACCGGUCUCAGUUCGGAUCGAAGUCUGCAACUCGACUUCGUGAAGCUGGAUUCGCUAGUAAUCGCGCAUCAGCUAUGGCGCGGUGAAUACGUUCCCGGGCCUU
rnacentral:rRNA from 1 species